rnacentral:rRNA from 1 species
GAUGAACGCUGGCGGCGUGCCUAAUACAUGCAAGUCGAGCGAACAGACGAGGAGCUUGCUCCUUUGACGUUAGCGGCGGACGGGUGAGUAACACGUAGGUAACCUAACUAUAAGACUGGGAUAACUUCGGGAAACCGGAGCUAAUACCGGAUAAUAUUUCGAACCGCAUGGUUCGAUAGUGAAAGAUGGCUUUGCUAUCACUUAUAGAUGGACCUGCGCCGUAUUAGCUAGUUGGUAAGGUAACGGCUUACCAAGGCAACGAUACGUAGCCGACCUGAGAGGGUGAUCGGCCACACUGGAACUGAGACACGGUCCAGACUCCUACGGGAGGCAGCAGUAGGGAAUCUUCCGCAAUGGGCGAAAGCCUGACGGAGCAACGCCGCGUGAGUGAUGAAGGUCUUCGGAUCGUAAAACUCUGUUAUUAGGGAAGAACAAACGUGUAAGUAACUGUGCACGUCUUGACGGUACCUAAUCAGAAAGCCACGGCUAACUACGUG